GACGAACGCUGGCGGCGCGCCUGACACAUGCAAGUCGAGCGGAAUGGGGUGCUUGCACUUCAUUUAGCGGCGAACGGGUGAGUAAUGCGUAGGUAAUCUACCUGCCAGUGGGGAAUAACCGUCUUAAUCGGCGGCUAAUACCGCAUACGUCGAGAAUUCGCAUGAAUUUUUCGGGAAAGGAACAGAUUUUACGGAAGUUGGAUUUGGCAAGACGAAUAAUGAGCAAAGAACCUCCGGAGUAGUCGAUGUGCGAUAGGUGUUCAUUUUGCCUUUUGUUGUUUUGUAUUUUUGGUUUCUUAUAAAGUUGUUUCGCUGGCAGAGGGGCCUACGUCCGAUUAGCCAGUUGGUGGGGUAAUGGCCUACCAAAGCUUCGAUCGGUAGCCGAACUGAGAGGUUCAACGGCCACAUUGGGACUGAGACACGGCCCAAACUCCUAUGGGAGGCAGCAGUGAGGAAUAUUGCGCAAUGGAGGAAACUCUGACGCAGCGACGCCGCGUGGGGGACGAAGGUUUCACAACUGUAAACCCCUGUCCUCGGGGAAGAAGAAAGUGACGGUACUCGGGGAGGAAGCCCCGGCUAACUACGUGCCAGCAGCCGCGGUAAUACGUAGGGGGCAAGCGUUGUCCAAAUUUAUUGGGUGUAAAGGGUGUGUAGGCGGUCCGCCCAGUCAGAAGUAAAAUACUGAAGCUUAACUUCAGUGACGCGUCUGAUACUAGUGGACUAGAAUGGAGUAGAGGUAAGCGGAAUUUCCGGUGUAGCGGUGAAAUGCGCAGAUAUCGGAAGGAACACCGGUGGCGAAGGCGGCUUACUGGACUCUAAUUGACGCUGAGACACGAAAGCGUGGGGAGCAAACAGGAUUAGAUACCCUGGUAGUCCACGCCCUAAACGAUGCUUACUAGGCGUGAGAAGGUCUGACCCUUUUUGUGCCGCAGUUAACACAUUAAGUAAGCCACCUGAGGAGUACGGCCGCAAGGCUGAAACUUAAAGGAAUUGACGGGGACCCGCACAAGCAGUGGAGCAUGUGGUUUAAUUCGACGAUACGCGAAGAAUCUUACCUGGGUUUGAAAUCCGACUAACGGUAUAGAAAUAUAUUUGGUGCCUUUUCGGGGGAUGUCGGAGCAGGUGGUGCAUGGUUGUCGUCAGUUCGUGUCGUGAGAUGUUGGGUUAAGUCCCGCAACGAGCGCAACCCUUGCCGUCAUUUACUACUGGAGAGUACCAUGGCGGAACUGCCGUUUUCUAGAACGGAGGAAGGUGAGGAUGACGUCAAAUCAUUAUGCCCUUUAUGUCCAGGGCUACACACGUACUACAAUGGCCGAUACAAAAGGAUGCAAAGUCGCAAGGCGGAGCCAAACCGUAUCAAAAUCGGCCCCAGUUCGGAUUGUAGGCUGAAACCCGCCUACAUGAAGUAGGAAUUGCUAGUAAUCGCGGAUCAGAAUGUCGCGGUGAAUACGUUCUCGGGUC
rnacentral:rRNA from 1 species